AACGAACGCUGGCGGCAGGCCUAACACAUGCAAGUCGAGCGAGAUCUUCGGAUCUAGCGGCGGACGGGUGAGUAACGCGUGGGAAUAUGCCCUUCUCUACGGAAUAGCCCUGGGAAACUGGGAGUAAUACCGUAUACGCCCUACGGGGGAAAGAUUUAUCGGAGAAGGAUUAGCCCGCGUUGGAUUAGGUAGUUGGUGGGGUAAUGGCCUACCAAGCCUACGAUCCAUAGCUGGUUUGAGAGGAUGAUCAGCCACACUGGGACUGAGACACGGCCCAGACUCCUACGGGAGGCAGCAGUGGGGAAUCUUAGACAAUGGGGGAAACCCUGAUCUAGCCAUGCCGCGUGAGUGAUGAAGGCCUUAGGGUUGUAAAGCUCUUUCAGCUGGG
rnacentral:rRNA from 1 species